rnacentral:rRNA from 1 species
UACGUAGGUGGCAAGCGUUGUCCGGAUUUACUGGGCGUAAAGAGCGCGCAGGCGGUCGUUCAAGUCGCGUGUGAAAGCCCCCGGCUCAACUGGGGAGGGUCACGCGAUACUGAUCGACUCGAAGGCAGGAGAGGGUAGUGGAAUUCCGAGUGUAGAGGUGAAAUUCGUAGAUAUUCGGAGGAACACCAGUGGCGAAGGCGGCUCACUGGUCCGGUACUGACGCUGAGGUGCGAAAGCGUGGGGAGCAAACAGG